ACAGCUGAAAAGGCAUUGAAAAUAUGGUUGCUAUGUCAUAUGUGCAUCAGUAAGUGGCAGAGAGGAGAGGCUAUGAUUAUGUUCAGAGACCUGUGAAUGGUUGGUAGUCAAAUUUC
ensembl:snoRNA Gm23083 predicted gene, 23083